AAAUACUUCAUCCAAAUUGCUGUACAAGUUGCAUCACUUGGAAAGAGCUUUGACAUUUUUUAUCAUAACUCCACCUCAGGAAAUGACAUCAACAAGGUGCAACUGAACAAUUUUCAAUGAUUUUUGCAGAAUAGUGUUAAGAAGUGUACAGGAAACUUUAUGAACCAUAUAUCAUCUCACAUAAUCAACUGAACAAUGCUCAUAAACUUGUGCACUGUUGUUCUCAUAAUGAUCCACGGUAAGUAAACUUUAAAGGGGGAAAAUAAUUAAAAUAUUUUAAUACAUAAAACAAAUAAGAAUACUUAUUUUUUUUUUUUAAAACUUGAUUUUCAAUUUAUUUCAUUGUAGGUGUGGAAAGUGUGAGCUUAAAUCAAACUCAAAAGGUCUUGGUGAAGCAAAAAGGUAAAAGUGUGUCCUUUACAUGUGAGGUAAAAGGUUUGGCCUCUGGUGGUUUUGUCCACUGGUACCAUAAAAAAGAUGGUGAAACAUUUAAAAGAAUACUGUACAUAAGCGAAUCCGGGACUGCUACAACUGAAGCAACAGGAUUUACUGCUGAAAAAAAAGGAAAAUCAUAUGGCAUAAAACUCAAUACAAUAAGAGACGAACAGGCUGGGAUGUAUUACUGUGCGAGCUGGGAAGGAGACAAGAAAGUCUUUGGUUCGGGUACUCGACUUUAUGUGACAGGUCCAGGAAACACGGUUGAGUCACCAAAGGUGUCUGGAUACCUACCGUCAAAGAAAUACAGUGACAAACAUGGCAAACAGACAAUGUUAUGCCAUGCAAGUGGCACGGUUCCUUACUUGGUGAAAUUCACAUGGGCAAAAAAGAGCGAAACAGAAGAAUGGACGGCUGUACCAAAGGAAGAUGUUGUGGAACAGAGUUACAAAGAUAAAAAAAUUGUGACAAGUAUGAUGAUUGUAGAUAAAAACACGGCCGAAAACAACAGCUACCAAUGCACUGUUACCAUUGACGGAAUCACUGAGAACCCCCAAAUUCUUGAAAUGAAGAGAGAAGACAUUAAAACAGCAAAGGGACCUAGCCCAACAUGUCCACCCGACUCUGAGGAUUUGGAUGGAUUUUUUUAA
rnacentral:lncRNA from 1 species